rnacentral:rRNA from 1 species
UAAGGAAUAUUGGUCAAUGGACGCAAGUCUGAACCAGCCAUGCCGCGUGAAGGAUGAAGGACCUCUGGAUUGUAAACUUCUUUUAUCUGGGACGAAAACGGGAUUUUUAUCUCAAUUGACGGUACCAGAGGAAUAAGCACCGGCUAACUCCGUGCCAGCAGCCGCGGUAAUACGGAGGGUGCGAGCGUUAUCCGGAUUUACUGGGUUUAAAGGGUGCGUAGGUGGGCUUAUAAGUCAGUGGUGAAAGCUCCGAGCUUAACUUGGAAACUGCCGUUGAUACUAUAUGUCUUGAAUUAUCUGGAGGUAAGCGGAAUAUGUCAUGUAGCGGUGAAAUGCUUAGAUAUGACAUAGAACACCAAUUGCGAAGGCAGCUUACUACAUAUAAAUUGACGCUGAGGCACGAAAGCGUGGGGAUCAAACA